GGUUAAGCGAAUAAGCGUACACGGUGGAUGCCUAGGCAAUCAGAGGCGAUGAAGGACGUGCUAAUCUGCGAAAAGCGUCGGUAAGGUGAUAUGAACCGUUAUACCCGACGAUAUCCGAAUGGGGAAACCCAGUAUCCAAUGGAUACUAUCAUUAACUGAAUCCAUAGGUUAAUGAGGCGAACCGGGAGAACUGAAACAUCUCAGUACCCCGAGGAAAAGAAAUCAACCGAGAUUCCCCUAGUAGCGGCGAGCGAACGGGGAGCAGCCCAGAGUCUUAAUCAAUAACAGUGUCAGGAGAACGGUCUGGAAAGUCCGGCAGUAAAGGGUGAUAGCCCCGUAUCUGAAGAUGCUGUUAUUGUGAACUCGACGAGUAGGGCGGGACACGUGUUAUCCUGUCUGAAUAUGGGGGGACCAUCCUCCAAGGCUAAAUACUCCUGAUUGACCGAUAGUGAACCAGUACCGUGAGGGAAAGGCGAAAAGAACCCCGGCGAGGGGAGUGAAAAAGAACCUGAAACCGUGUACGUACAAGCAGUAGGAGCCUCUUUAUGGGGUGACUGCGUACCUUUUGUAUAAUGGGUCAGCGACUUAUAUUCUGUAGCAAGGUUAACCGUAUAGGGGAGCCGUAGGGAAACCGAGUCUUAACUGGGCGAAUGAGUUGCAGGGUAUAGACCCGAAACCCGGUGAUCUAUCCAUGGGCAGGUUGAAGGUUGGGUAACACUAACUGGAGGACCGAACCGACUAAUGUUGAAAAAUUAGCGGAUGACUUGUGGAUGGGGGUGAAAGGCCAAUCAAACCGGGAGAUAGCUGGUUCUCCCCGAAAGCUAUUUAGGUAGCGCCUCGUGAACUCAUCUUCGGGGGUAGAGCACUGUUUCGACUAGGGGGUCAUCCCGACUUACCAACUCGAUGCAAACUGCGAAUACCGAAGAAUGUUAUCACGGGAGACACACGGCGGGUGCUAACGUCCGUCGUGAAGAGGGAAACAACCCAGACCGCCAGCUAAGGUCCCAAAGUCAUGGUUAAGUGGGAAACGAAGUGGGAAGGCUCAGACAGCCAGGAUGUUGGCUUAGAAGCAGCCAUCAUUUAAAGAAAGCGUAAUAGCUCACUGGUCGAGUCGGCCCGCGCGGAAGAUGUAACGGGGCUAAACCAUGCACCGAAGCUGCGGCAGCGACACAAAGUGUUGUUGGGUAGGGGAGCGUUCUGUAAGCCUGCGAAGGUGUACUGUGAGGUAUGCUGGAGGUAUCAGAAGUGCGAAUGCUGACAUAAGUAACGAUAAUGCGGGUGAAAAACCCGCACGCCGGAAGACCAAGGGUUCCUGUCCAACGUUAAUCGGGGCAGGGUGAGUCGACCCCUAAGGCGAGGCUGAAAAGCGUAGUCGAUGGGAAACGGGUUAAUAUUCCCGUACUGGUGGUAACUGCGAUGGGGGAACGGAGAAGGCUAGGUUGUCCGGGCGACGGUCGUCCCGGUUCAAGCAGGUAGGCAGAGUGAUUAGGCAAAUCCGGUCACUUAAUGCUGAGAUGUGAUGACGAACCACUAAGGUGGUGAAGCAAUUGAUGCCCCGCUUCCAGGAAAAGCCUCUAAGCUUCAGGUUACCAACAAUCGUACCCCAAACCGACACAGGUGGUCAGGUAGAGAAUACUCAGGCGCUUGAGAGAACUCGGGUGAAGGAACUAGGCAAAAUGGUGCCGUAACUUCGGGAGAAGGCACGCUGGCGGUAGGUAAAGUCCCUCGCGGACGGCGCUGAAGCCAGUCGAAGAUACCAGCUGGCUGCAACUGUUUAUUAAAAACACAGCACUGUGCAAACACGAAAGUGGACGUAUACGGUGUGACGCCUGCCCGGUGCUGGAAGGUUAAUUGAUGGGGUCAGCCGUAAGGCGAAGCUCCUGAUCGAAGCCCCAGUAAACGGCGGCCGUAACUAUAACGGUCCUAAGGUAGCGAAAUUCCUUGUCGGGUAAGUUCCGACCUGCACGAAUGGCGUAAUGAUGGCCAGGCUGUCUCCACCCGAGACUCAGUGAAAUUGAACUCGCUGUGAAGAUGCAGUGUACCCGCGGCAAGACGGAAAGACCCCGUGAACCUUUACUAUAGCUUGACACUGAACAUUGAGCCUUGAUGUGUAGGAUAGGUGGGAGGCUUUGAAGUGUGGACGCCAGUCUGCAUGGAGCCAACCUUGAAAUACCACCCUUUAACGUUUGAUGUUCUAACCUAGGCCCAUAAACUGGGUCGGGGACCGUGUCUGGUGGGUAGUUUGACUGGGGCGGUCUCCUCCUAAAGAGUAACGGAGGAGCACGAAGGUUGGCUAAGCAUGGUCGGACAUCAUGCGGUUAGUGCAAAGGCAUAAGCCAGCUUGACUGCGAGAGUGACGGCUCGAGCAGGUACGAAAGUAGGUCUUAGUGAUCCGGUGGUUCUGAAUGGAAGGGCCAUCGCUCAACGGAUAAAAGGUACUCCGGGGAUAACAGGCUGAUACCGCCCAAGAGUUCAUAUCGACGGCGGUGUUUGGCACCUCGAUGUCGGCUCAUCACAUCCUGGGGCUGAAGUAGGUCCCAAGGGUAUGGCUGUUCGCCAUUUAAAGUGGUACGCGAGCUGGGUUUAGAACGUCGUGAGACAGUUCGGUCCCUAUCUGCCGUGGGCGUUGGAAGAUUGAGAGGGGUUGCUCCUAGUACGAGAGGACCGGAGUGAACGCACCACUGGUGUUCGGGUUGUCAUGCCAAUGGCAUUGCCCGGUAGCUAAGUGCGGAAGAGAUAACCGCUGAAAGCAUCUAAGCGGGAAACUUGCCUCGAGAUGAGUCUUCCCUGUCGCUUUAAGCGACCUAAAGGAACGUUUAAGACUAAGACGUUGAUAGGCUGGGUGUGUAAGCGUAGCGAUACGUUGAGCUAACCAGUACUAAUGAACCGUGAGGCUUAACCUG
rnacentral:rRNA from 1 species